rnacentral:lncRNA from 1 species
CAACUCUGUAAUAAUCACAUUUUCUUAUUAGGGGGCUCGAAUGGUUCGGGAGCUUUUUGAAAUGGCCAGGACAAAAAAAGCCUGCCUUAUUUUCUUUGAUGAAAUUGAUGCCAUUGGAGGUAUGAAUGAUCUUUUAUUGAUUUAGUUACUUUUAAGAGUGUGUGGUUAAUGGGGGCUGGAGAGAUGGCUCAGUGGUUAGGAGCACUGACUGCUCUUCCACAGGUCCUGAGUUCAAUUCCCAGCAACCACAUGGUGGCUCAUAGUCAUCUGUUAUGGGAUCUGAUGCCCUCUUCUGGUGUGUCUGAGGACAGCUACAAUGUACUCAUAUAUGUAAAACAAAUAAUCCUUUUAAAAAAAAAGUGUGUGGGGGGUCAAUUCUCCUACCAUAUGGGUACUAGGGAUCAAAUUCAGGUUAUCAGGCUUGGAGGUGGGCACUUUGCUCUGAGCCAUCUCAUCCCUCAAUGGUAUUUUAAAGAACUGCAUGGAGUAGGACUGACCUUGAACACAGAAAUAGGAUUGAAGACGGGUGUUGAUUCUGCCGUCACAGCUGCUUUGGUAGUGUUUGAUGUUUCUCAGCUUCACUGCUGUCCUGGCAUUGUUUGUUUCGUUGUAGCCCUGUAGUUGUAUUUGUUCUUUUUAGUCCAGAAACUUCCUUCCAGUAUGCUCUGAGGAGCUGAGUCAGUCAUACGUUCUUAAAGUCGCCUUCAUCACAGAAAGCUUCGUUUUUGUUCUUCAGUCUUUAUCAAUGGCAGACUAUCUCUCAAUCCUAUUAGAGAGGCGAGGCUGUUAACAGACAGUGUGGGACAUGUGCAUCUCUUAGCAGCCCAAGUUAGGGUCUUUGGGACUGGAAAGUGAACUGUGGAAAAGAGUGACAAGGCAAGAGAUG